UCGAGACCACAAACAAAACUAUUGUAAUAAACAAUAUAUACCAACCAAUUGUUUUCUUUAUGACACCAUCAAAUUACACAAAAGCACAACAUUGUUUAAACCUUUGCGAAGCCUACUGCACAUAAAGAUAAUCCGAAGCUUUACACACAAUCCAUGCAAAAUUAGAAUCACAUGCAAUUCAGGGCUUAAUACACAAUCCAUGUGGAGUCAAUAUAAUAUUCAUAAUGAUUACAAAUGGUCUUUACAAAGUAAAAAAUAAGUAAACAACAAUUAAAUUAAUGACUUAAACCAUCCCAAUUAAACAUGCAAAUUAGAAAUAAUUAGAAUCACAACCACAAUUUCACAUGCAACACUUAAAAUCAUUUAAAUUUGAAAUGCAAGAACUUGAAUGCACUUGCAUUACAUCAUAACACCAAAAUGAACAAGCUAUCUUCAAAGCUCAUAGCAAUUUAGAUAUUAAUCAACCACAACAACCAUAACCAUAAUUAUGACAUAAUUGCACCAUUUUCUUUAAGACCAAAGAAAUAUAGACAGUACCACCCAUAGAGUCAAAGGAUGCAAACCUCAAGGUAUUUUAAUUUCACUCAUGCAGCAACAGAAACCAAAAGCUUCUUCUGUGAUAAUAGUGGCCUCAACCUUUCGGCCACAUCUUUAACUGUAACAAGUACAUAAGAACUAUUAGAACCUAAAAAAUUUAAAUUAAAAAAAAAGAAAAAUACAUAAAGAACUAGGACCACUCCCAAACAUUAAGAAUAAUUAUUUAGGGAACCAUUGGAUCUAUAUAUAUAUUCCCGGAUAAAAUUUAAUUAGGUUUCGUUAGAAUGACACCCAUAUCUAAAAACUAUCACAUGCAUUACCACUUAAAAUCAGCUAGGGAUAUAACAUUGCAAAUUAAAAAAUUGAGUGAGGCUUUUGAUGCACUUACUUUUUCUUCUUCUUCCCUUUCUUCUCUUUCUUCUCUAAUAACAAUUGGUGUUUUGAAUAAGGGGCUGUUGGGUGACGGCUAAUGUGUCAGUGCAAAGGGCUUGGCAGUUGGAGAGAUUUUGUAAAUUCGUAAUGGGUGC
rnacentral:lncRNA from 1 species